GGAUUGCAGUCUGCAACUCGACUGCAUGAAGCCGGAAUCGCUAGUAAUCGCGGAUCAGAAUGCCGCGGUGAAUACGUUCCCGGGUCUUGUACACACCGCCCGUCACACCAUGGGAGUCGGAAAUGCCCGAAGCCGGUGGCCUAACCGAUAAGGGAGGAGCCGUCGAAGGCAGGUCUGAUGACUGGGGUGAAGUCGUAACAAGGUACC
rnacentral:rRNA from 1 species